UAGGGAAUAUUGGUCAAUGGAUGCAAGCCUGAACCAGCCAUGCCGCGUGCAGGAAGAAGGCCUUCUGGGUUGUAAACUGCUUUUGCCAGGGGAUAAAAUGGGCGUGCGCGCUUAAUUGAAGGUACCUGGUGAAUAAGCCACGGCUAACUACGUGCCAGCAGCCGCGGUAAUAAUCAC
rnacentral:rRNA from 1 species